GAGUUUGAUCGUGGCUCAGAUUGAACGCUGGCGGCAUGCCUUACACAUGCAAGUCGAACGGCAGCACGGGAGCUUGCUCCUGGUGGCGAGUGGCGAACGGGUGAGUAAUGCAUCGGAACGUAUCCUGGAGUGGGGGAUAACGUAGCGAAAGUUACGCUAAUACCGCAUAUUCUGUGAGCAGGAAAGCGGGGGACCUUCGGGCCUCGCGCUCUUGGAGCGGCCGAUGUCGGAUUAGCUAGUUGGUGAGGUAAAGGCUCACCAAGGCGACGAUCCGUAGCAGGUCUGAGAGGAUGAUCUGCCACACUGGAACUGAGACACGGUCCAGACUCCUACGGGAGGCAGCAGUGGGGAAUUUUGGACAAUGGGGGCGAACCCUGAUCCAGCCAUGCCGCGUGAGUGAAGAAGGCCUCGGUUGUAA
rnacentral:rRNA from 1 species